rnacentral:rRNA from 1 species
GAUGAACGCUGGCGGCGUGCCUAAUACAUGCAAGUCGAGCGAACAGACGAGGAGCUUGCUCCGCUGACGUUAGCGGCGGACGGGUGAGUAACACGUGGAUAACCUACCUAUAAGACUGGGAUAACUUCGGGAAACCGGAGCUAAUACCGGAGAAUAUAUUGAACCGCAGGGUUCAAUAGUGAAAGACGGUUUUGGGGGCACGUAUAGAUGGAUCCGCGCCGCUUUGGCUAGUUGGUAAGGUAAAGGCUUACCAAGGCGACGAUGCGUAUCCGAGCUGAGUGGCUGAUCGCCCACCUUGGAACUUGGCCACCGUCCUGACUCCUACGGGACGCCGCAGUCUGCAACGUUCCGCAACGGUCGAGAGCCUUACGCAGCGGCGCCGCGUGAGUGAUGACGGCCUUCGGUUCGUAAUGCUCUGCUAUGGGUGAAGAACCACUGUGUCCUUAACUAUGCCCGUCUUGACGGUACCUAAUCAGAAAGCCCCGGCUAACUACGUG